UACAUGGGAAUCCAUCCUUGGUACACUUAACAUACAUCAAUGACACAUAUAAUACAUCCAUGCCUGAGUAAGCUAACAAUUCCUCUCUCUCUGGCUAACUCUACAAAAUUACAAAAUAGUUCAAUAGUCCAGCAUAGUCCAGAAAAAUAGAAUACGUCUUUCAAGGAGUAUAUAGAAUCUUAGACACCAUAAACUUUGUUCCAUAAUCUUAGACAUCAUAACAUAGCUAAGGGUAGCAAUAUGGCUGACAACAAGACAAUGUCAGCUUCCACAUAGUUCUUAAUUCUUCUGUUUCCUGGAUGUUCACCACAAUACUCUGUGCAACACCCCAAUUGUUAAAAGGGUAAUACAGAAAUAGCGGCAUUAGACAGCACUGCAUCUUCAGGACUUUCCAAGUUAGUAUCCUCAUAAGUAAGCAUCUCAGUUUCUUCGGCCAGCGUGGAUUUUGACCAAACAGAUUUAAUUGCAAAAAAGGUAAGUAGGCAGGUAGGUCAGCCAGAGAGAUUGGUGUGUAGUCCCAAAUAUCAGGCGGCACAAAUAUUCCAGUACGGUCUCUAAAAUCAUACAAACACAAGGAUCAGCAUGACAUCAAUAAAUUAAUUAUCUAGGCUAAACUCUAAUUAGAAACUAAAGUUAAACUCUUAACUAGUGUAACAUGUACAUCUCUCAGUUUUGCUUAUAAUUCAUUGAAUUUGUCCUUUAUAAAAUUUUAAUAUAUAAUUUUCCUUUAGAAUGCCUUUGUAUGGAUGAGAGAAGCACUCAUUCUAUAUAAAUGCUUGUUGAGUACUAAAACACUAACAUAUACAUAUUGGAAUAAUUCCCAAUAAAAUGCUGUUCUUAAACUUAAACCUUGAUUUGAUAAUCUCAAUUAAUUACUUUAAU